UGGGAAGCCAUCCUGACACGUGACUGGGCGACUCCCGUUAAGGGUCUGAGGCUUCUGGCUGUGUCGGAAUUUUCCCGGCCCUUUCCUGAUGAGAGAACCCGUCCGUGUGGGGGUGUGACUGACCACUGACCCCGGGGGCCCAAUCACUGACCCUGACCUUGGAGUGCAGUCCUCCCUCAACCUUCAUUGGAUGGAAUUCUCCCCUGAAUUUCUUGUUCCCCAAUAAAAGGCUACUCCCAGGCGUGUUCACUCUCUCUCUCUCCUGCUAGCCCUGAGUAAUCCUUGCUGCCCUGCUGGGCGGUUAGAGGUUGGAGCCAGAGAGGGGAGCCGUCUCGGACCUGGCAAUAGAAAUAAGGUAACUGAGUCUGUGUGUUUUAUUUCGAUCUCUUCUAGCUAACUUUUAUGCCAAGAACCUCAUUAACGAAACCAUUGCACAGGCCGCAUGGUGGAAUUGGCGCCCAACGUGGGGCAUUCUAGAUUAGUUAGAUUGAGUGGGAGCGCGCUAUAAAGAUAAAGGAAGUGGUGACAAUUUAGAGUCACAAAAGUACCUGGAGAUAUUGAAGGAAAGAGAUGUUAAAUUAAUUAAAAUGGGAAAUUCAACUUCUACGGAUAAGGAAAUGUAUCUGACUAUUUUAGACAGUAUAAUUAAUCAGAAAGGAAAACAGAUAAAGAAAACUCAGUUAUUACAAUUCUUAAAGAUUGUAGGCGAAUAUUGUCCUUGGUUUUGUGAACAAGAGUCUCCAAAUUUAUCUACUUGGGAGAAAUUAGGAAGAAAGUUACAAAAGGUUUAUUUUUCAAAUGAACUACCUGGAGGCAUAGAAAGUAUUCAGAAAACUUGGACAGCUCUGGAAGUUUAUCUUUUUGAGUAUAUGGGUCAAAGUUCGUGGCCCCCUGAAGACCUGUUAAAAGGCUCACUCCAAAGGAUACAUUUGCCCAAUUGAUUUUAUUGCCUUGUGAUUCAGGGAGACACGCACCAGUAGAUUCAGUUUCUAGACCGCCGGACAGAGUAUACUGGUCGCAGAUAGUAAGACAAGAACACCCCUUAUUAAAGCUUAAAAUUAAUAAUAAAAAGUUCCUCGGAAUAGUAGACACAGGAGCUGAUAUAUCUGUUUUUUCUAGUAGGUUCUGGCCUAGGAGCUGGCCUUUACAUGUAGCACCAGCUAACCUAGAGGGAAUAGGACAGGUUUCACAGCCUGCUCAAAGUGCCAACUAUCUCCGUUGGGAAGAUUCCGAUGGGAACAGUGGAGUAUUUAAGCCUUAUGUGUUAGGGUCUUUACCAGCUAACCUGUGGGGAAGAGAUAUUUUAGCCAAGAUGGGAUUAUUAUUAGCUACUUCAAACUCUAUAAGGUCAGUUGAGGAAGUUAAUCAGAGGUAUUUUCCUGGAGAUGAUAAGGAGACCCUUCAGGAAGAGUAUCUGUUUACAAACCAGUCUCCAUGACAAAGAUUAGUAAAUGCUCCAAGCCAAAAUUUUUACUAGGGGCCCUGAGUACUUCCCCGAUCCCUAAGACAGCCGAAAAAAUCACCUGGCUCACAGAGGAGCCUAUAUGGAUUUCUCAGUGGCCCAUCUCAGGGGAAAAGCUUAAAAUAAUUCAUAGGUUAGUUGAGGAACAACUUCAGGCUGGUCAUAUUGAACCAACGCUUAGUCCUUGGAACACACCUAUUUUUGUUAUUAAGAAAAAGUCAGGAAAUUGGAGAUUGCUACAGGACUUAAGGGUGAUAAAUCAUGCAAUUCGACCUAUGGGAUCAUUACAGCCAGGACUUCCCUCCCCCACAGCCAUCCCUUUAGAUUAUAGCUUGAUGGUAAUAGAUUUAAAAGACUGUUUUUUUCUCUAUAAGGUUACAUCCUGGAGAUUGUGAGAGAUUUGCCUUCACUGUCCCAGCAAUUAAUUUUAAGGAACCUGUUAAAAGAUAUUGCUGGAAAGUACUCCCCCAGGGAAUGCGUAAUAGCCCUACCCUGUGCCAAAAAUAUGUAGACCAGGCGAUAGAUCCCAUAAGAAAUAGCUUUCCUGAUGCGUAUAUUAUUCAUUUUAUGGAUGAUAUAUUAUUGGCUCAUGCUAAUCCAGAGGUACUUUCAGAAAUUUUUACUCAGUUAGAGACUUCGCUUACAGCAAUGGGUUUAUGCAUAGCCCCUCAAAAAAUUCAAAAGUUGCCUCCUUUUCAAUAUCUAGGUCAGAUAAUUCAAGGACGUACAAUCCGUCCUCAAAAUCUUCAGAUAAGAGUAAAGGAGUUACAUACCCUUAAUGAUUUUCAAAAGCUAUUAGGAGAU
rnacentral:lncRNA from 1 species